AACGAACGCUGGCGGCAGGCUUAAUACAUGCAAGUCGAACGCAUCAUUCGGGGUGAGUGGCAGACGGGUGAGUAACGCGUGGGAACGUGCCCUUCAGUUCGGGAUAACCCAGGGAAACUUGGGCUAAUACCGGAUACGUGCGGGAGCAGAAAGACUUAUCGCUGAAGGAUCGGCCCGCGUCUGAUUAGCUAGUUGGUGGGGUAAGGGCCCACCAAGGCGACGAUCAGUAGCUGGUCGGAGAGGAUGAUCAGCCACAUUGGGACGGAGAAACGGCCCAAACUCCUACGGGAGGCAGCAGUGGGGAAUAUUGGACAAUGGGCGCAAGCCUGAUCCAGCCAUGCCGCGUGAGUGAUGAAGGCCUUAGGGUUGUAAAGCUCUUUCGUCCGGGACGAUAAUGACGGUACCGGAAGAAGAAGCCCCGGCUAACUUCGGGCCAGCCGCCGCCGUAA
rnacentral:rRNA from 1 species